rfam:Oryza nivara chromosome 7, whole genome shotgun sequence.
UAUAAAUGCAGUUGUGGGUUUCCGUGUUCAACGUUUUGACUGUUCGUUUUAUUUAAAAAAAAUAUGAUUAGUAUUUUUAUUGUUAUUAGAUGAUAAAAUAUAAAUAGUAUUUUAUAUAUGUAUGUGACUAAUUAUUUUUUUAAUAAAAUUUUCAAAUAAGACGGACGGUCAAACGUUACACACGGAAAUUCACAAAUGCACUUAUA